UGUGAUACUUAUAUAACUUUAAUGUUAUUAUAGAAGACACGGUCCUAUUACGUAAAUGUAUAGGUGAAGCAGUUAGACAUUCAAGUGUUGUAGUUUUGCUGCAUAUUGCUAAAGCAGCAAAAGACAACUUACUGUUUGUAAGGACUUCUCUCUGGCAUCGAAAAUGUCACUAAGACAAGUUUUUAUUCUGGUUAUCCUUGGAAUGUGUUGCAAUAUUUCACAGGAGUUUGUUUUAAGGCGUAAACCGGUUGAAACCACCACACCUCUAUCUCCUGAAACAUAUGACCAGUUGUGCAGUUAUUACAGGCAGAUGUGUAACUGCGCAAGGAUUCGACAAUUUUGUGUUGAUCCAUCUUGCUGUAACCAAUCACAAUUGUUCAAACUAAUUGGCCAGAUGAUGGCUAUAGAAGAUGAUGACGACUGAAAUACUCUACAGGUUAUCUUUUUCUCUAAAAAAUCUGCUUUAUGGAGUGGAUAUACAUACUUCAUACACCUACUUUAUAUAUGUAGGGGGCACAUAUUCCUCAACCAUCU